ensembl:lncRNA
GGAAGGGGGAUGUUUGCCCGGAAACCGGGAAAGGGAAUAACACUCGAAAUGUAUAUAAGAAAUACUCAAGUUAAUAAAAAAAAAAAAUUUAAAAAAAAAAGUGGGUAGAGAAGGAGGAUUGGAGGACCUGCAUUUGCAGACGUUGCACAAAGGUAUGAGAAAGUAGAGCGUCUUAGACAAAAGGACGGAGCUAUUCAGGAGGGUAAGAUCCCAACUGUAAAGGGUAUUUGUCUUCUUAAGCAGUAUGGAUGCAAUUUUGUUGGACCCUAAGCUCAGCAUUCUUGAGGCUUUCUAGAAGGGCUCUCGUCAGACUCCCAUCCCAGACCAACUGUCUCUGAAACACAAGGUGGAACCUAGACAAUUACUCUAGCGAAUCCUCCAGCUACUGUUCAUGGACACUGAAGGGUAGGAACCAUUGACCAAUGAUGGCUUGAUAGAAAAACUAAGCACAUGCAGAGAAACCAUUCUCUUCCCACAGAGCAAAUGACGAGGUUCUAUUUUCAAAUGAAAGAAUUGCUUAUGCAUGUGAAAGGUGGAAGUCAGAGGAGGGAUGACUGCAGAGAGACUGUUAGGAGACCAUGUAUGGCAUGUGCCAAAUAAAGGCAAGGAAAAUGGCAGUCAGGGUGGCAGGAAGGGCAGACUUGUGAGACUGCGCUGACAGAUAUGACAGCUGCAUGUGGGAGGCAGUGGAGGGUUAAUGUCCAGGGUGACCUAUUAAGUAGCAGUUGCCUUGUGAGUGUUGUUCAGAUGCACUUCUGGGCAGCUCACCUAGACUUUGAUGCUUACACACGCCUCCCCUUUAGGGUGCUUUUGUGACUGCGGUUUAGAAAAGGGCCCUCUCCUAGUGACUGAUAAUGCACAAAAAAUGCAUGUGAGCACUUUCUGCCAAUGGCCCGCCCAAGAUCCAGGAUUUUAAGAACGAAGGAAACACAGUAAUCAGAAAGACCUACUAUCCGACUUCUCAGGGGCUGCGUGCGAUCCUGGGGCAGACAGGAAAUAUACAACCGUGGAACAUCCUGGGUUGCUAUGCAAUUUCAAAAACAAAAUGCUCAGAAGGAGAAAAACUGAUGAGCACACAUUGCAGUGACCCAGGAAAUAGCCUGGAGCAAAGGCAUGGAUAGCCAUGUGGGGCAGCGCUUUAGAAGGAUACCUGCUAUAACCAUGAGAUUUCACUCCUUUACAAAAGAUCCUUGCAUGUUCCCCAAGGUAUCCAGCUCACUAACGUUAAAGGCAGAUGCAAAGACUGCCUCAGACAGGAAGAUACGAAGGGGCAGCAGGACGUCAUGCAAUUGGGAUUCUGAGUCCAAUCCUAAAGCACAAAUAGACUGGAGAUAAAAAUGUGACCCAAACUUGGUAAAUCUGAAAUAAAGACUAAACUAAUUAAUAGUUUUGUAAGCUCACCUCUAAGCUUCAAUGAGGUACACUGCCAGAUGCUGACAUUUACGGCAACCUGGCUGAAAAACUGGCUGAAUUAUAUAGACACUGCAUAAAUAUUGUUUGCAAUUCUUCUACUGGUCUAACAUCAUUCAGAACAAAAGUUCAAAAGAAAAUGAUUGUCUUCAUAGGAAACCCCCAGCUUCCGUGGAAGGCUCCCAGAGGGUGAUCUAGUGACUGUCAUUAUUGUAAUUGACUUGAGUCUUGGAACCAUUCUCUAUGUCUUAAUUCUCUAAAGAAUUUAGACAGAUGCAUUUAUAUUCAAGCUUUAUGAAGCAUAGGCUUCAGAGUUGUCCCCUUUUAUGCAGCCCACUGAAAGGUGACCAUUGAGAGAAACUAUGGAAUAUUCUGCUUUCUUGAGGAGAAACUGGGUUUUGAAGGGAAACGUGUAUUCCAACUAUUCAUGGCCACUGCCUAAAGGGAGCUCGGAAAGAAUGUAAAUCUCUAAGCUGCCAGUCACUUGUUAUUUCAUUUUUCAUUCAAAACAUAGUUGCUUCUAAAUGUUCUCUUUGCCUCUGAUUUUAUAUUUACAAUUAUUUUGUAAAAGGUCCAUGUACAGAUUCAUGCCCACCUAACCUGCCUAACUCUAAUUACUGAGCACAAUAUUCAACAAUGAAGUAAGUAGAAAACAUAGUCAGUGUUCAUUAGUCACAAAUGAGUUGUCCAUGAUAAUUUGUAUGCUUUUCUGGGAUAACAAUUCUGUCUAGGGUACCUUUAAGAUUUCUUUCUAUGGGGUUGGGGAUUUAGCUCAGUGGCAGAGUGCUUGCCCAGCAAGCGCAAGGCCCUGGGUUCGGUCCCCAGCUCUGAAAAAAAAAAAAAAAGAAAAAAAGAAAAGGGAAAAAAAAGAUUUCUUUUUAUGUGUACAGAAAGGAUGUUAACAUUCAGCAGGACUCUUAGAGACCUUCCACACACACUUUGUUUCGUAAUGAGUAGAAAGUCAGUUCCCUAGUUAAAUAUCAAUGGCCCUUGAAUUUUGACAUCUUUAUUCAGGACUCUUUCCUCUUUUUGUUUAUUUUUUUUAUUUUUUUUUUAAACUUUGGACAACAUGGGUAUCCCAGUCAGUAGAAACCGUGCUUCCCACUUUGAGUCUGGCUCUCCCUCUGAGCUAGCGAGUCACCCGCUGUGCUACACUCUCUCUCGAUGCUGGAACAAUAGCUGUUCAGUCAGGAGAGUACACGGCCCAUAGUCUAUAGUCUCCCGAGUUGUCAAAUGAUGACGUUCGCUCUGUCUGAUGUAGAAAAUGAAUUUUUUAUUUAGAAUAUUUCCAACUUACAGUGAGUUUCAGCUCCCCUAAUGAGCGGAGGGACAUCAACAAGAACUUGUUUCUAGGAGGCAGAAAACUUAAGGAGACUCAGACCUGUGUAGGUUUUGGAAUAGGUCAGAGGAGAGUUGGUGGGGAUUGUAUACACUGUGCUAGAAUAAAACUUCUACUUUGUUUCUCUUUUUGGCAAUCUAAGGUAACAACAAAAAGCCUUGCCUCUUUUUGCACUCAGUACAGAAAUGUGUGUGGUUUUUAAAGGGUAACGAUUUCAUAUUAUUCCAGUUUAUAUACAUUAAACAAUUUCUAAGAGCCUUUUAAGUCUAGGCAAGCAUGCUUCUAUAUUGCAGACUAAAGCAGAGGAUAUAGGUACGGUUUGGGACUGCUGGAAUUAGGGUUGCAGUAAUGUCCCCUCAGGGCUAGGACACCUCUUCAAAGCAGGCAUGUGCUCCCGAGAACACUUGGUGCCUGAAGACUUUGCAGUGACUGCAGUCUACACGGUGGCUCCAGGCUGAAACUGAACCCACUGUUAGCCCAUCCCCCAUCAGUCCGGAGCCAAGCCUUGAAAUAGCUCUGUUGCCGCCUUAAUGGCAUCUCGGACAGGAGCAAAUGUUCUCCACGGUGGCGCCUGUUGGCUCUAAUCAGAUAAAUUAAGGAGUUGAGCAUGUUUCCACCAUUUGGUUUAGUUUUAUUUUAGUCCCCAAGUCCCUUUGCUCCCAUUUCAAGGCUGACAUUUUCUCAUUGUGGAGGCCCCUGCUUUAUCACUGAAGAAGCUUCGAGUAGAAGCAUCACCUGUCUCACCCAUGCUGAGAUGCAACGUUUCCAGCAGACCAUUGCACGACUACACUUUGCUAUCACAAAGGCCAACUCUUCGUUUCACUGGGCAUGCUUCAACAUCCCCUUCACGAAGAAAUGGAUUCUCACUAGGCCUGGUAUGUGCUUUUAAUCCCAGCACGAGGGAGGCAGAGGCUAGAGGAUCUCUGUGACUUGCACCUCACUCUGGUUUACAUAUGGUGUUCAAGGCUAUCCAACAAGCCAAGACCACACAGUUAAGCAGAGAGAGGGGGAGAGGGAGAGGGAGAGAGAGACAGACAGAGACAGAGACACAGAGACAGAUUCCCCCAGAGAGUGAGCUAUCUGAGCUUUAUUAGUACAAACCAUCCUUUAUGAAACAGGAAUAUCAUGCAUAUGUAAAUAGACUAUGGCUUUGUUUAUAGAAACAGCAUAAGGCUUAGAGUGAAACAAGAUGCAAUUUCAUCUCUAAAGAUAAAGACUACACAAAUCAUAUUUUCUCCCAAUCCAGUACUUACUAUUUAUUUAGAUCAUACUAUCUUUCUGACUCUAUCCUACUUUUUACCCACAAAUGCUGCAAUUUUACAUGAUUGAAACAAAUAUCUAUUAUCUCAAGAUAACUGGUCCAGCUCUCUCCUUUACUUCUCCAUAGAUAUCCUCCUAGUGGCAGAAGGCAUCCCAUAACUACAGUAGCUGCCAAGGAUGUCCUUCCGAGCUUAAGGAGUUGAGCAUGUUUGCACCAGUUGGCUUAGUUUCAUUUUAGUCUCCGAAUCCGUUUUUCCAAGCUGAACCAGAACCAACAGAUGACACCCUCUCUGUGCAUGUUCAUAAUUUCUCCUUUAAAACUGGAAGCAAUGUAAAAACAAGCAGAUGAGGAGGAAAAGGAAAGGCCAAUAGAGCUGACAGCCCUUGGCUUUGCCCUUCUCUGUGUCUGAUCCACUGAACUUCCCGUAAAUUGUCAAUCAACUAAUGAUUAGAGAAACAUUGUACUAAUCCAGUGAUUUCAUGAAUGAUCCAUCUACGAAAGGCUCUUUUCGCCUGGGGAUAGAAAUAAACUGCACUCAAGGCAAUGAUCAAUGCAGAAGUAGUAGGGUCAUUGAAAAGCUUGCAUUCCUGUUUGAUGCAGAGUUACAGAACACCACUUUUGCCCAGGACGGUCAGCUCCUAGGAUGUGGCUGUGGCACGAUUUUCACCUAUUCUCACCCUCUUCUUGUCAUCCGGGUGGUCUCCUUCUUCAUUUAAUAUAACUUCACAUGUGAUCACCGCCCCUUAAGACACGCAGUUCUCAACCCUCCUACACAGCUUGUGCUGUUUCUGGAGAGGCUAACUCAUUCGGCUGGCAUUGUGCAAAGCAGGAAAUCAAUAAACAUUUAUUGAAUUAAUGCAGAAAAGACAAUUUUUCUUAUGAAACAUUCGAGUGGCUUAUUUUUAUUUAUUAACCCCUGAACUCAUCCAGUACAGUAUGAUGUGGAAAUUCUCACCACUUGUGAGAGUUUACGCCUGAGGAAGUGGAACAUUUGCCUGAAAAAAUGUUAUUUUCCAAGGAUAUACAAUGUUUCUACGGCUGAGGAAACACUGAACGGUUGUUUUUUAAAUUCAUUCAUUCAUUUAUUUAUUUUUACUUAUUCACUUUACAUCCUGCUCACUGCCUCCCUCCCUUUCACCCCCUCCCAAAGUCCUUCCCCCAUCCCCCCUCCCCUUCUCCUCUGAGCAGGUGGGGGUCCCUGGGAAUUCCCCACUAGAGACACUUCAAGUCUCUCGGGUUAUGCACAUCCUGUCCUAGUCAGAAAAGUCAGCCCAGCUAGAAGAACAUACAGGCAACAGCUUUUUGGGAUAGCCCCCACUUCAGUUUGAACUGUUACUCUUAAUCGCACUCAGGACCCUGCCUGCCUCCUCCCACCACACCAACAGAUCUUGAUAAGAUAGCUAUGUAACCUGCCUUCCAAACUGAGACACUUUGACCGUGAAAAUGCCAAACAUUCAGGACCUAACUUCUAGAUGCUCUACAGUUUGUUUGUCGCUGCACUAAGUCUGGAGGAGAGGAAAGCCAAUAAAAGUGUUAGCCUUUGUAGUUGACAUGGGAUGAUGUCAUCCCCAUAGGAAGUACCCUGGGAAAGACACAAUGUACUUCCGAUUUUUACUAUAUUACUUCCGAAAUUCCCAUUUCUUCUCUCACAUGUUUCUACCCUGGAUAGAAGCCCUGAGAAGCAAAUGCUGUGUUCUCAUGCAUGCCAGAAAGUGGUGACAUUGGGUGUUUUCUUUAGUUAUUCACUACAUUAUGACUUGAGACAGGUUCUCACAUUGAACCCGAAAAUCUCUGAUUGAGCUUAGCUGACUGGCAAGUGAACUUCAGGGAUGCCCCUGCCUCUCUCUCCCCAGUACUGGAGUCAUAAGGACACACCACCAUGGACAGAUUUUUACAUGGGUGCAAAGGAUAUGCGUUCAAGUCCUCAUGCUUGCCCAGCAAGCCCUUUACUGACUGAGCCGUCACCUAGCCCCUCACCUUUGAUAUAUGUGGGUUGAUGUCUACAUGCAGGUGAGGGUAGGCACAAAACAAGGCAAGGCCUGUGAUUGGUCAGUGAAAAAGAAAGGCAGGCUGAGAAUUUUAGAGACAGGACAGAGAGAUAGGAGAGAGGGGAGAAGGAAAGAAGAUGGAGGAAGAGAAGGACGACCCAGAUCUGUGUGACUUUUAAAUAGCCACAGGUAGCUAUGAAUAUCUUAUAAGGGAUAGAUAACUACAGGACAACUUGUCUUAUCUAGAUGGGCAGUUUAUAUCAAUAUCUAUUGGCUCUGAGUUUAUUGUGUGGACAUUUGGUGGGGUGAGAAUUUACUGAUAUAAAUCUGAUUGAUAAAUUAGAAGCCUCUACUUCUUCCUCGGUGCUGCCUGCGAGGUGGCUGCCCUCUAAUUGUGGCAUCAUGGCUGCCCUUUGGCCUCUGGUGAAGUCCAAGAUCGUCAAAAGAGGACCAAGAAGUUCAUCAGGCACCAGUCAAACAGAUAAGUGAAAAUUAAGCAUUACUGACAGAAACCCAGAGGCGUUGACAACAGGGUGAGGAGAAGAUUCAAGGGCCAGAUUCUGAUGCCCAACAUUGGUUAUAGGCCCAACAAGAAAGCCAAACACAUGUUCUGCCUAGCAGCUGCCAGACGUUUCUAGUCCACAGUGUGAGGGAGCUGGAAGUGCUUCGGUGCAACAAAUCUUCCUGGGCUGAGAUUGCUCUCGAUGUUUCCUCUAAGAACUGAAAAGCCAUCAUUUAAAGAGCAGCACACUGGUCAUCAGAGUCACCAAUCCCAGUGCCAGGCUACGCAGCGAAGAAAAUGAAUAGAUGGCUUGUGUGCUGUUCAAAUAAAUCCACACACACACAAAAAAAGCAAGACUCUAGAGUUUUGAUUGUACUGGGAUACUGGGAAUUGUGACUAGAACCAGAGAGGGUGGAUGGCUGGGAAUGUGAGCAGAGUCUGCAGCAAGAAGGCUUUGAGAUUGGCAGUCUCUGCAUGGGGCUAAGCCAUAGAGGCAGAGAGACUGCUAGGGCCAGAAAGCAGUUAGCAUGGGAUGGUGUUUCCUUUUUUUUUUACUAUUUCCCGAUACAGUUAUAUUUGGAUAAUUUCGUCUGAGUUCAUUUACAGAUCUUUCUUAAAACAGAAUCCCAUUCCUUGCCCAGGCUGAUCUGAAACCAAUGUGAACCCUCAGUGGCCUUCAGCUGGCAGCAGUCUCCUGCCUCAGCCUUCCAAGUGUAAGGAUUACAGCAUGACUCAUCAUGCUCAACUAGACAUUAUCUGUCAAUGAACAACAACAAGAAUUAAAACCUCUUAGAGUUUCUAUAACAAACCCAUUCACUCAGCAACUUACAGAGCAACAACACCAACAAACAAAAACACCGAAACAGAUUCAACAAAGACAGGAAGCUAUUUUUCCAGUUUACUUGUUUACUGAGAUGGGACACAUCUUCUUCUCCACCACAGUGUCAAGCUCUCUCCGUAAGGGGCCCUUACUCGUCCUUGGGUAUCCAUUUUCAGGGAAUCCAGAAAUAUGUAUAGUGUUUUAAUGGAAACUUCUCAUCUAUAAAAUAAUGGAUAGACUUACUUAUAUCUGCAGUCUUCUGUAACUUCAAAAUUAUGACUCCAUGAAAAUAAUUUUUAAAUUACAGGGUGAAGCUGUUGAAGUAUGGACUGUAACAUCCUUGGAUUUUAGUCCAAAGCCACAUUUAAAAACGACAAGUUCAUUUAGAGUUUAAGAAUAACUUGGAUGGGGGCUGGGGAUUUAGCUCAGUGGUAGAGCGCUUACCUAGGAAGCGCAAGGCCCUGGGUUCGGUCCCCAGCUCCGAAAAAAAGAACCCCCCCCCCAAAAAAAAAAAGAAUAACUUGGAUGAAUACUCCAGAUUUCAGACUGUUUUCUCUAAAUUGUUUCUUCUUACCAAGUCUUCUAAGUAUUGCAAAGUGACCAAAACUGGUUUGCGCUUCACUGUCGCCAAGUCUUUGGGGAAGAUUUUAGUCUCCUUACCAGUGAGAUGAGAUACGAGCACCUUCGCUCCUGAAACCCAGUGAUCAGUAUUUGUGACAUAGUGUCUGUGAAAGCAAAUCUCAGAGGGAAUUCUGUCACGUACAACAUCCACUGGGUACACGGGGAAAACACACACUGUGGUGAAAUACAGGCAUCUUUAGAAGGGCUGAGACCAAGGCAAACAUUUGAAGACAAAAAUGAGGGGAAAUUAUAACAGACACUGCAACAUUCGUACAAUUGUGUGGAAUAUUCUGAGGAUUUGGGGGGUCUGACAAGCUCCCAAACUUCAUGCAGUCCUUGGCAAAAGGAAAAUAGAAGCAGACCUCUUUUAUCCUUGCAACAAAUUGAGACCUUGGGAUAAGAGAGUAAAAGUAAUAAUCAAGACUCACUUUGAUACUUUAAAGUAAGUCUCUUCCACAAAUGAGAAGAUGCACUUUUAGAAC